GAAAAAGGGCAAAGGCCAAAGAUUUUGACAAUAUAAAGUUGAGCUAAGGAUUAGAGGCAGCAUCAUGUCUUCUAGAGAUCGAAAGAAAGCAGCUGUUUAUCAGAAAUUGCAGCAGCUUCGCUCUGUUGCCAACUCCAGUGCUGUGAACAAGACCUCAAUCAUUGUAGAUGCAUCAAGAUAUAUAGAGGAGUUGAAAGAAAAGGUGGACAAACUGAACCAAGAAAUUGAAACUUCACAAAUUUCAACUUCCCAGAAUCCUCUGCCUAUGCAGGUUACUGUGGAAACCCUAGAGAAAGGUUUCCUUAUUAAUGUGUUUUUGGAAAAAAACUGCCCCGGUUUGCUUGUUUCCAUAUUGGAAACCUUCGAAGAGCUUGGCCUCGACGUGCUGGAUGCUAGGGUUUCUUGCGAAGACAAUUUCCAACUAGAAGCGAUUGGAGGAGAAAAUCAAGGUAACGCUGAAGGCAUCGAUUCUCAGAUGGUUAAGCAAGCAGUGCUGCAAGCGAUCGGUAAAUGGAGUAAAACUGGCGAGCAGGAUUAGGACUUCUCUCUGUUUUCUUUUGGAUUGGAUCUCUUCAUCGAUUCCUUUGAUGGGUUGCAGUUGCAUUCAAUAAUAUACAUAGAAAUUGCACUCAAGUUGAACAGGCUUAAAACUCAUCUUAAACACGGGAACAAAGUAUUCUUUGGCAAUGUGGAGAGCACUAUUAAUGUUAUGAAGAACAAGGUUGAGGAGUUUGAUAUUAUCUGCAGCUUGAGGGACCUCGCAAUGAUGAGUGUAAUGCUGAAAGAAUUACCAUUCAGCAACUAUGGUCUGCCUCACGUCAACGAGAAUCUAUUUGGCGCUAGAAAUCUCGUAUCUAGUGGCUUUAAGGAAGGGGGUAGAAACACUCGCUUUUUCUAGUGCAAGGCUAAAGUUCCAUCUUGCCGAAACUUUAUAGCGGGAAACUUAAUUAACGGCGUUUGGGUCUCUCAACCUGAUGAGGUACGUCGUGUUACUUUUAAAUUCUUUAAGAACUUUUUUAAUUGCAACCAUUGGCCCUGCCUAGUAUUUGAUUGCUUUCCGUUAAAAAGGUUAGCACUUAUGAUGCUAGUAAUCUUAGGGCAUCGAUAACUAUGGAGGAACUCAAGUAUACCAUAAGGGGUUGUGUCGAGGCAAAAGGCCCUGGACCCGACGAGUAUAAUCUCAACUUUUUCAAGGAUAGUUGGGCUUUCAUAAAAAAUGAUCAUAUGCCUUCAUUUCUGACUUUAUGUCUACCGGUAAGCUGCACAAAUGACUUGACUCUUCAUUUAUUACAUUGAUUCCUAAAGUGCAAUGUCUUACCUCUUUUAAGAGAGUACUGUCCCAUCAGUCUUGUCAAUUCCCUAUACAAGAUCAUAGCCAAGAUCCUUGCUAAUAAGCUUAAGGCGGUCAUAUUUACAGUGAUCAAUGACUGUCACAGUGCUUUUGUUAAAGAUUGUCAAAUCAUGGAUGGUAUUAUGGUGAUCAAUGAAAUCAUUCAUAGUAUGACACACAAGCUUCAAGAUGAUGAGCGUAUCAUUCUCAAAUUGGACUUUGGAAAAGUUUUUAAUUGUGUUGAUUGGGGUUACCUAUUUUGUGUUAAGCAAUCAAUGGGCUUUAGGUAUAAAUGGUGUAGUUGGAUUUGUAAGUGUAUUUCUAAAGUGCAAGUCUCAGUUUUGAUUAACGGUUCUAUUAUUUUGAAUUCCUAAUGAAGCGUGAGCUUCGCUAGGGUGACCCAUUAUCACCUUUCCUUUUAUUAUGGUAGUGGAAACUUUACACCUCACUCUUGUCAAGGCGAAAUCCCUUAUACGCUUUAGAGGUAUUACUCUUUCUCCAUAUGGUUUCUCUAUCUUUCAACUCUAGUUUGCAGACAACACAGUCAUUUUAAUGUGUCCGGAAGUCUAAGGUGCCCUUAAUCUAUGAUGUAUCUUGUGUUUCUUUGAGCUAGCUUCAAGCCUUCGCAUCAACUUUCAACAGACAUGCAUCUUUCUAGUGGGCACUCUAGACUCUAAAAGCAAUGAGAUUU